GGCCCGGUGGUGUAAUGGUCUAACCUCUCGGGAUUCGGAAAGGCCCGAGACGUGGGUUCGAAUCCCGCCUGAACCG
rnacentral:tRNA from 1 species